UUGAAUAAAAUAUAGGUCAAUUUGAUUAUGUUGGGUUUCAAUUCGAUUUUUCUAUCAUUUACCGGCUUAAAAAUACACAUUCAAUAUUUUCUCUCCACGUCAUUUUGAUAAGUAUUCUGACUUUUCUUUUAUUUUAUUUUAUUAUUAUUAAUUUUUCUUGGCCCGUAACAACAUCAAAAUCCAAAGGAUUUUAGGGAUUAAAAAUUUGGGUUUUCCUGCUUCACGCUGUACGAGCUUAGUACUUACAGCUCAUUCCAUCCAUGAUCAUGGGACCCCUCAUGUGAGGUGCUGUCAGCAUGACUCUACUGACCUAAGCUUCUAACUUUGACUUACAGCUUAAAAAAUUGACGGUGUUUUAAUAUUUGAGAAUAGCUGUCACAAGGCUGGUGUGCUCGCCAAUUAAUUAAUUAGCUGUCCCGCGGCUGCGUGAGCCAUAUGAGGCUGUUCAGUUUAAUCUUGUGAAAAUAAUAAAAUAUCUUGUGCCAUAUUUUGCAAAAAUAUAUUCUCCGAUUUGUUACUACAAUAAAAACAGUCUACAAAUAUAUUUGCUGUUAAAUUAGAAUGAAUCAUGCUACAAGUACAUUAAAUUUUACAUUGUACCACGUGACGACAUUAUAUUGGACCGUUUUUUAAAAAAAUGCACUUUCUUGCCAACUCCAUUUUUGUAAACAUUUGAAAACAAUAGAGUGUCAAACUCCAUGUCAAGCAAAAAAUAUACAAGAAGCCUUAAGAAUACAGAAUUAAUUUGAGUGCAUAUGAAUCUCCGAAGAAUAAUAAAAAAUAAGUACAAUAAAUCGAAGAAAUAAGACGGGUCAAAUUUUCAAAUAAUUAUCUCCUUCGAAUUUUUACUUUAUUUUACCUUCCAUGUUCUCUUGGAUCUAUACAUAAGGAUCUCAAAAUUUAUGGUUGACCGAAAAUUGAUUUGCCUCUUGAAUUUUUAUUUAUUCUUCACCAUCCGUAAUGGGAAAGAACCGCAUGAUAUGGAUGCAAACUUCUUGUAAAUGAAAAUGAAAGAGCAUAACAAAUUGUGUACAUAAAUAAAUUAAAAACACACACUAAUUGCACUGAACUUGAGAAAUAUAAGAAUCUUAAAGGUAUAUAAUUCAUGAUCUUGGAAUAAAAAGAAAAUCCAAUUACAAUUGUAUGUCAAAAAAAAAAUAAUUCUAACAAGGAAAAUCGACAUAUCAAGCUAUAGUGUAAAGAAUAAAGUCAGUAGUAUCAACCCCAACACCUUUGGAAUCAAAACGCCCCGUCGGAGUCGACACAUCCCUGGCGGCGCUGUGGCCGGAGACUCCGUUAUGGUGGUGGCUCGAUGGAGGGUGGUAGUACAUCCGUGCAGUUUGUGGACAGUGAGAAUGAAACCUUGCUGCGAUUCUCACACAUGCAUCCAAAAUCUCUGUAUAUUUGCUCAUCUCUUUUGCUCCGUCAGGAAGGAAUAUGUAAGAAAAAGUAAAAGAAAAAAUGUUUUUGUUUAGAAAAUGUCUCAAAUAUUUGAGCCCAUUCAAAGAGUGGGAAACUUGGAGUCUAUAUAUAUAGUUGUGUUUUUGGUACCUUUCCUUUUCACAUUUACCAAUAAUUUGGAAGGACUUUUUCAACUAAUUUGUGCUGAUGCCCUCAUACUUUUAUUUAUUCUAUUUCUUGUCCACUAUCUAUUUAUUUAGGUGGUCAAUUUUAUCUUAUUUAAUUUGAAAAGAUUCUUAUACAUUAUGCCCCGUUUGGCCUCCUUUAAAUUUCAUUUCAUUUUUCUUUAUCCUAUUUUCAACUAAACAAUAUUUCAUAAAAUAAUAUUACACAUAAAUCGAAAAAUUUUCUUUUUUUUUUAAACCACUCAUUUUUCAAAAAAAUACUAUUCCAAUUACUUUCAUUUCAAAAAAUGGGGGCCAAACAGGGCAUAGUAUGGGACAUACAAAUAGAUAGCUCAUGUUUGGUGUCCAUUGUUUUGAAACUCUUUUCGUUAUAGUAUCAUUUUCAACCACAAAUUCAUAUAAUAAAAUAUUCUGCAUGUAAAUUCAAAAGUUUUUUCUACUUUUAACUAUACGUUCUCUUCAAAAUACUGUUUAGAACUCUCUCUCUCUCUUUUUUUUUUUUUUUUUUUUUUUUUUUUUCUUUUUUAAAUAAUAAUGAACACCGAACGGGAGCAUAAAUAUGAGCAAGUGGGAUUAUUUUAGAACAUCUCUGAUGUACCUAUCUUUCCUUCUUUUUGACUUUCUCGUUUUAAAAUGUUUUCAAGAAUUCAAUUUAUAGUGCUUGCUUGCCUUAAAAAUUUGUUAAAAAGUCAAAGAUUAAAGUCAAUUAUUGUAAUCACAUAUUUCAUUGAAUUCAUAAUUUUUUAUUAUCUUUCUAACUACCUAAUUCAUCGAGAAUAAUAUUAUUUAGUACCACUGAUACUACAACAUCAAUAUAAGUGAUACUAGAUAGCAUUAUUCUUAUGUUAUAUGUUCAAUGAAAUAUAAAAUUAUGUGAUUCAUUUAACUCAUUUAAUGUCGUUUAGUGCCAUUAAAUUGAUGUCGUAAUAUCAUUGAUGUUAAGCCAUUAAAAACAGCUUUUAAACAUAAAUGACUUUUGAACAAAAAAUUAUAAAUGCGCCGAACCAAGACUAUCGAAUUUAAUUUGAUAAGAAUAUUUGCCGAAACCCUUCGUCAAGUUGCAAUUGAUAUGGUUAUAUCAAGAAUAUAAUUAUAAUAUUUAAUUAAUUAGGUCGUAAAUGUAAAUAAUAAAAAAUAAUGAGGCACAUAAUAUAUUUCAUCUAGAGUAUAAUGGGCAUUUCUAAAAAAAAGGUUGAACCUCAACCUUGAGGGCCUCCACUGCCUCGUCCCUGGAGCAUCGUUAGGGAGGUAAAUCGCAGGACGUGCCCCAACAAAUCAGAGAACAAGAACUUGUUCAUACACUGGUAUCCACAAAGAGUCAAAUUUCAUAUUCCAGGAAUCGAACCCUCACACUGCGACUGUCAGCAAAAUUGAGACUAUUUCACUUCUAUUCGUUGUACCACUGGAUUAUGCCCUGAAGGGCGUAUAAGGGCAUUUCUAAAUGUAUGAGGAGUAAAGUAAAUGUUUGCUAAUUCAAGUCGGUUUGACAACCAUUAUUAUAGAAAAAAGAGUUUUGAAUAUUAAAUUUUCGGAAAAUAUGAUGUGAAAAAGUGAGAAUUUUUUUAAUAUACAUGUAGAAUAUUUUAUUGUGUGAAUUUAUGGUUAAAAACAAUUCAGAAACAAAUCAUAAAAUAAACUAAUGAGCUUUGCAUGUACUCGAAGCCGCGUCAAGUUUCUGCAUGACCCAUAUAGUGUAAUUUUGCUUCUGAUUUACAGUCAAAUCCCUUUAUUUCUUGAAAAUUUCCUUUUGACUAAAUCGGCCAUUGAGCCAGAACUAAUUCAUAGGCACUUUUAUAUUAUUUAAUUUGAAAUGAUUAUUUAUUGUGGUCAAAUUUAUGUUAUUUAAUUUGAAAUGAUUCUUUUACAUUACAAUCGAUAAGUGUAUUUUAUACAUUUAUUUGGACUUAAAAAUAUAGUCAUUUAAUAGUUCUUUUGAACAAUUAUAUCUUAAUUUGUCUUUCCUUCUUUUAGACUUUUUCGUUUUAAAAGGUUUUCAAGAGUUCAAUUUAUAGUUAUUGUUUGGCAUGCCUUAAAAAAUUUGUUAAGAAGUCAAAGUUAUUAUAAUCACAUACUUCAUUGAAUUCAUAAUUUUAUCAGAUUUCUAACUACAUAAUUCAUCGAGAAUAAUAUUAUUUGAUAUCACUGAUACUACAACAUCAAUCUAAGUGAUACUAUGUUAUGGUAAUAAUAUUCACCAACACUGGUGAAUAUUAUGUGAUAAAUUCAUUUAAAUGUAAAUUCAUAUAACUGAACCUACAUCUAAAACGAUGCUAAUAUUAUAUAUUGAAUGAAAUAUAGAAUUAAGUAAUUCAUUUAAUGAGGAUUUCUCAUUAAAUGUCGCUUAGUACCAUAAUAUCAUUGAUGUUAAGCCCUUAAAAAUUGCUUCUAAACAUAAAUGAUUUUUGAAUAAAAAAAUUAUAAAUGCCUCGAACCAAGACUAUUGAAUUUAAUUUGAUAAGAAUAUUCGUAACCAUGAACGGUGGACACAAUUAGUGGUGAUUAGUAAUUGUCCUUUUCGUCAAGUUGCAAUGGAAUAGGUUAUAUCAAGAAUAUAAUUAUAAUUUUUAAUUAAUUGGGUCGUAAAUGUAAAUAAUUAAAAAUAACGAGGCACGGAUUAUAUUUUAUCUAAAGUAUAAGGGCAUUUGUAAAAGUAAACGUUUACUAAUUCGUAUGUACUAGAAGCCGCGUCAAGUUUCCGCAUGACCCAUACAGUGUAAUUUUGCUUUUGACACUUUCAAUUAGUUAGACUUUUAACAAAAACUAGUAUUGACUUUUUUCAUUAAUUUCUCUAUGUCUAGAGAAAUUAAUGAUAAAAUGUCAAGUAUUAAUUUUGUAAUUUAAAAAAAAAAUAGAAGGGUCUUAACAAGCUGAUUGUCAAAAAUGUCAUUAUUGCAAUUCGAAGUGCUAGAAAAAAAUCAAUCUUUUAGAAAAGUCGACGUAAAAGGAGAGUCCUCAUACUUUUAUUCUUUUAAGUACUAACGAUCAAAUGUGUUUAAUAUAUUAGAAUAUACAGAAGUGGACAUGAUUAAGAAAAUAAAUAUAUCAUAAUUUUUUUUCCUAUGUAUAUCAUAAAAUUUAUUAAUAGUUUUCGACAUUGUUGGUUGAAUCUAUCUUAGCAAACAAAUCAUAAAAAUUGCUAACCGAGGACAAAAGUUCUCUCCAUGUGGUAUUCAUGUCCACUUCAAGAUUCAUCAUCUAUGUAUUACUAUUCAAAGAUGCAUAUGUUAUUCUUGCAUUAAGAAAAGUGCAACAUAUCAACUUACUACUAGGCCACAUCAUAAAAAUGUUGAUAUUAUAUGAAGGAUGUUGAUAUUUAACUCAAAAGCGGAAAAUUCUCGAUAGAAGGAUGAGAGAAUUGAGGACGCACGUCGUUUAUGCACAAAAGGCAAAUUCAAAUGGCAUAAAAUAGCCUACGCCAAUGUAUAUGAACAACGCUGACAUUUAACUCAAAAGGGGGAAAUUUUUUAUAGAAGGAUGAGAGAAUUGAAGACACACGUCGUUUAUGCACAAAAGGCAAAUCCAAUCGACAUAAAAUACUUUAGCCAUAAUCAUAUGCAUGUCAAUACUAACACUACAUUCUUCUAUGUCUGUCAGAUAUAUACAAAACCAGCAAAACAUCACAUUGAGAAAGAUUUGACUCUAAAUCCAACUAUUUUAGCUCAACAAACAAAAGAACUUAUUGGAAUAACAACAAAUCGAAGUACGAUAGACAGCUAACCAAAGGAGUUAACUUUCAAUGUUCAUACUUAACUGAACGAAUGAAAUGUAUGUAUGAAACAGGGAAUUGUCCGUAAAGUGUCUUAUAUCAGAUAAUGAAGGAAAAUGCGAUAUGUGCUCAAGUGUACGUGUAUCUGAGUAUCUCCUAAACAAAGAAUCUUUCCACAUAAAUUUCUUAAACUAGGCACAAGCAUCUGAAAUCUGGUUUAUCUCUGUUUCUUGAGUAACUCUGAAUUAAUGUUAUACAGUAACAUGUUAUUUUAAUCGUAGAAAUGUUAUUUGUCAUUCACAACUCAGAUAUAUUUUUGUAUGGUAAAGUUACAUGUUGUGUUACUUUACUGAUGCUACAUUAUUAGGCAUAAAGUGACAUUGAUAGUACUGGAUUAAGGGGGACAAAAGAGAGAUAAUUCAAUGUUAAGUUAAAUCUGAUAUUGAGAAUCAAUUAAAGAAAUCAUUUUUAAUGUUCAUUCUGAUUUCUGGGUAAGUUUUAUUUUUCAUAUUUCUAACUCACUACUAAGCACUCAAUUUUUUUCUAAAACGAGUAGGAUUUAAUUAUUUUAGUGAGUGUUUCAUAAAAAUGAUAAGUUUCUUGCAAAAGAAAACUUGAAGGCCAUGCAAAGAAUACAAUUUAUACUGUUGGGUUUUGACACCCAAUAAAUUCGGAUGAUGAUUUAAAACAGUUGUUGGAUAAUUUAUCGACACCAUAGAUUUGGCUCGACUCAAAUACGACUGAUACUUUUGGAAUGCCCAAGUUGGAGUUGGUUUUGUUGUAUGGAUAUGUGAGUCUUGGCCCAAUUGUUAUUAAAGUUUGCCUUGGUUCUUAAGUAGCCCAUUUACCUAUUGUUGGCCCAAUUAAGUGAUCUAAUACCUAUUAUAUAUUUAUCACUUCCAGCAGCCGUUUCUAAUGGUGGUGUGCAUGUGGAAGAGAGGGUCGAAAGUAACGGGCAGCCGGCUUGGGGGUUUGUUGGAGUGAAACCCACCAUUGUUGCCUAUUCUUUUUCCUAUUACCACCACCAUCCAUUCAUUUUUGUGGGGUUUGAGAGUUCUUGAUGCAACCAAAGUGAAGGUUAAAGGUUUGGGUCGAGCCGAGGUAAACUAGUGUUCAUUUGAUUAUUUUCUGACCCCAGAAUCAAAAUUUCUCAAAGGAUUUUCGCGACACAUACCAACAAACAAAAACACGGAACUUACAAAUGAAGUUGUUUCGCGCGGGUUAGUCGCUAACAAUUAAAAGGGAUCAGACGAUUGUGUAAGGGACAAACCUCUUGAGACAAAGUCCCAAAAAGGGGUGUUCUUUUAUUGACGAUGACUUUACAAUUGGAAAUGAAAAACAACGUGCCUCCAAGGGGCGCAAGCACACGAGUUACUGAAAGAAAAGUGUUUAAAUCUAAAAACUAAGGAAAUGAAAAUUACAUAUUCUCUGUUCGAGAGUUUUGGAUUCGGUCCUUUGAUUCUACGUCUUUUCUCCCUUUUAUACUUCAUAGGCGAUCUCUUUGUGAUCAACUACUCUGAAAACUGCUUGAUCGUCCUAUAACUACCCACUUUCUUCGUAAUGGCCACCUUGUCAUGAAAAUUGUCUUUAAACUGCUGCCAUUACCCUUCAUCGUUCAAUCGUUUUCGAUUGAAUUCCUUGAAUCGUGGAACGUGAUAGGGCUGCUUUAAUAACUGCUUUGAUAACUGCACUUCUUGAUAACCACGACGCAUUAUGUUUGUUAAUACCUUGGGCGACUUGAAGGUUUGGGCGAGAAUAGAGUAACAGCUCUAAGCGACUGUAUGACACUCCAUUCGCUCAGAUUUUGGGCGACUUGCAAACUUGGGCGAUGGUGUUACUGCGUUCUUGGGCCUCCUUAUUUGGGCCUUCAUCUUGAUUUGUUCGAUUGGGCUUCGUUCUUUGGGCUAUCUGAUUUGGGGAUUCUCCAAUUGGGCUUCACUCCUUAGGCUGUUCGAUUUGGGCUGAAUUUUUAUGUGUCAACAAUUACCCCCCAAUAUGGCAGAAUUAAUAAUAAUUAUUAAAUUUUGCUAUAUUCACUUUGUGUUUCCAGCAACAUUCGAAAUUUUCAAGAAUUUCAAUCAUUGUUUCCUUCUAUAACUUGAAAAGGUGCGUCGUUUUGCAAACCCUUAUAAAACCCAAACACGCCAUUUCACUGUCAUCAAACCACGCUUCAUAUUUUUUGCGUCUCCUUCACGAUUCACUGUUCAUCUUUUGCUUCCCUCCUACGUAACCCUGCAAAGUUUCGUUCCUUCUCAAAUGGCUGCUCCACAAUCUCAAGAUAGCGAUUCCUUUAGUUUUGAUGACUUUCAGAGACUUCUGAGUCGCCCAUACAUAACCCCAAGUUUUCUCGCGCCCGACAUUGGACGUAAUGAGUUUUACUUGGGUCCUUUCUUCAACAAUGCGGAGGCAGUUGAACAGGCGGCGGUGGGUCAGCUGUUUCCUUGCACUCAUGGCCCUUCUUUUCUAAACUCUCUGCUAUUGGGGCCAUUUCGCGAAAGAGGUAUUCGCACUUGGCCUAAAUCUGAUAUAGCUUUUCGUAUGUGGCAUGCUCGCCUUGUGGGUCAUGGUCCUACCAAGGCAUUUUUUGAUAGCAUUAGGAUUUCUGAUUUGUUGGAAAUCUCCAUCCACCUCCCUUCUUUUGAUUCAGCACUCUUUUCAAUUGCUUUGAGUUUUUGGUCUUCUGAGUAUAACACCUUUAUUUUCCCUCUUGGCCCCAUGUCUAUUACCUUAAGGGAUGUUGGGGCCCUGGUGAAUCUGCCACCUUUGGGCGAUACCAUUUUUCCUGGUAUCUUAGUCUCUGGUGGCGCCCAAAGUUUGGUAGAAACUACACCGAUUUUUAUUCAAGCCUGCAGACCCUCCACAAUCAUUCGAGCACUGAGCCUACCCAUACUGAGCGAGUGGCCUUCCUUUUAAUUUGGUUUUGUAAAUAUGUUUUGUGCGUGCCAAGUAUAAAGCCCUCUCUGAGUUAUUUACCUAUAGCGCACGAAUUGGCGCGUGGCAGGCCUUUGAAUUUAUGUUCUUUGUUUUUGGCUGCCCUUUAUAGAGGCAUGGUCUCUCUUCAAGCUCAAUUGAAGAAUGGUACAUCUCCCACUGGCAGUGGACCUCUUUGGUUCACUCAACUGUGGUUGAGAUCCUAUUUUCCAUCGCUUGGUGCUCCAUCCAUUUCUCGCCCUUCUGCUAACUGUUAUGGGCUAGUCAUGGAGCCCUUAACUCUUGUAAAUAUGUCCAGAAGGGACAUUUUUUCAUUCUUUUAUUCUUUGAAUUCAAUCCCUUCCUUUUUUUCCUUUUCCUCCUUUUUUGACUCCAAAUUAUGUACAUCUCCCUUCCACUAUAGAUAACGCGAGCACCUCCCUACUCAUUUGGAUCCAGUUUUUAAUCGGGAGGGAGCUAUUUCAUGAUAUUCUAACUGGGACCAAUGCCAAAGCGGGGGUAGAGAUUUAUGCUCCCCAAUUUUUUGCUCGUCAGCUUGGUUUUGGCCAAACUUGGCCUGUUCCUCCUUGCUAUUAAAGGAACUUAGUUGACCGUUUUCAUACCAUUACUAAGGCGGAGGCAGAGGCCAUAGAUGCUCGUAAUCUUCUUUUAACCAGUCAUUUUUCAUUGGCCCCCUUCAAUUCUAGCCACGCCAUUCACCCUCUUUUUGAACAACUCUAGCCAUCGGUGAAGCGCAGAUUAUUUGCGACUGAUGCCAAUCGUGCCUUUCAUUCAUUAGACCAACCGAGCAUUUCUUCUCCUCCUCCUGUUUUGGUCACUCCUUUCUCUGUCCAGAGCCCAUCUCCUUCUCGUCGCACUAAACAGUCUGCUCGUCCAUCUUCUUCUCUCCCUGCCAAGCCUACUACGGCUAAGAGUGCUCCAAGCCGUAAACGGCCAGCCUCAGCGUCUCCCAUUCUGGAGGAUGAUGUUGAUGAUGAUGAUGAUGAUGCCCCUCUUAUCGUCAGGAGGAAGGUAAUUAAAUUGGUUUACUUACAAGUAUAUUUUUCUAUAUUUGAAACUUUUCUGUGUGCUGAUGAUCUUUUGGACUUUUCAAAAAAGCUCAGCCUCUCCUUCAAAGGUUUUGGCAUCGACAACUCCUACUCCAUCAUCCUCUGCUAAGGCUACUUCAUCCAAACCGGUUGAUGAGGGGACUACACUUAAAGAGACAUCUUCAAUCCCAGAGUCCUCAUCACAAUCCAUGGAUGAGUCACCUUCUUCCCAGGGCGUCAACCCCCCAAACAUCGAAGCAGAAGGUAAUUCAGUUUUUUUAAUGUCUUACAUUUGCUCGUGCUGUUGGUUUCUGAUUUGUUGCUCUUGAGUUUUGUAGAUACUCCUAGGAGUCCGCCCGUUGUGGCAACAUCUUCUCGCUCAGACAAGGGGAAGUCCUCACGAAUGGAGGAGUCGUUGGUGGCAGACUUGGUUGAGGGCAUGCCAUCUUCCACGAUUGUUGAUGAGGUAGUCUUUGCUUCACUUCUAUUUCUAUUUUGUUCGUUAUAGUGAGCAUCUUUAAUAUUAGCAAUUUCCUUUGCAGGAUGCUGACAGGAUUGUGCGUUCCAUCCAAGACUUGUUCGCUUCUUGGGGGCAAGUCCAGACGUCUCGCCCUACUCCAUCUGAUCGUCCUGCUGCUUCUUCAGAGGAAGAUUUGAAGUUUCUCAAGGAGUCGGUAUUUGAGUACGUAUCCUUCAUGGAUAUGGAUAUUGGAAAGGCUAGUGCUGCCAAACACAAGGAUGAACUUGAGCACUUGAGUGCGAAGUUGGAGCGAGCACUUGAGUGCGAAGUUGGAGCAAGCACUGACGCUUCCGUCGCUCAAUCUUUCUGCCAAUUUUAAAGCGACGUUGAAGGUCAUCCAUUCCGAGGUCCUUUCUAUGCUGAACUAAAGGCCAAGGGUACUCAAUAUCUUCGAGCCGUAGCUGAGAAAUAGUCUUUGCGUAUGGAGAUUAACAAGGCUGAGGACGAGUUGAAAGAAAUCUCCUCCGAAGUCAUGGUUAAAGACUCUUUGAUGGUUAGUUUGGCUGCUCAGAUGAGGGAACUUCAAGCCAAAAUGAACGACUGCAGGGUGAGAAUGGCUGCUAAAAAGCGCAACGCCUCCCAGGGAAUUGAGCGAACUAAAUCCUUGGUCGAGCAGUACAAGAAGUUGGAAGUUGAUGAUGAUGUCGCAGCUGAAUUGAACAUCACUUCCUCUCGGCAAAACGAGGAUUGGGAAAACUUAGGGAACGAAUUCGUUCAGUAUGGGGUAGACUGUAAUUAAGACAUAUGAUGUCUUUUUCUUUUGUAAUUCGAUUUUUCCUUUUACAUUUUUUUUCAUCAUUAAUAAACAUUAACUUCUUAUGCAUUUAUUUGACGUUUAUUUUUUUAGUUAUCAAUUCUUUAAGCACUUAACUGCUUUGUACUAAGAAUCUUGUCCAUUUCCUUUUGAUAUUUCCACCACGUUUCCCAAGACUUUGGGCUAUUUAAUUCCGUUUAUUAGACAGAAAUGUGGCUGUUCAUAUUCUGUCUCUUCAUCUUCACCCCCUAUAAAUGCUUAGCAUUUUUCAUCUUCUAUCUUCAUCUCUUCAUUUUCUUCUUCGAAACCAAUUUGCUGCCAUUUUAUGGCAUUCUAACGAUCAAUCUGAUCCAAAAUGGACUGUUUAGUCCUCCCACCUUACUAUUUACCUUGAUGUCACCUUUGGUAUGGGAGGUAUAUGAAAUAUUUUCUGGCCAGUAGCGAAGUUCUUUCCUGCAAAAUUCUUCCCAUCGUCUCUUUGUUCUUCACAAGGAGUCAAUGAUGGAAGGCAAUUUUUGAGCUGCUUGUGGGCCACUUUGCUUGCUGAGAGUGCUUCUCAGCUUGCCUGCUGAGAGUGCUUCUCAGCCUCUUUGCUCGCCAUUGCAGCGAUGCAUUUAGGAAGGCGGUGUGAAGCUUACUCAGCGAUCAACCAGGAGAUUAUCUUACUUUAGUUGUAUUUUGUAGAACAUCCGUUAUUUGUAUUUUAUUUGUAUUUUAUUUUUAUUCUUGUAAUGAACAUUUGAUAAUAAAGGACUUCAUUUGAACGUAUUUCGCUCUGACCUUGUUAUCUUUUAAUCGUUCAAAAUGUUUGAUUAUGUUUUUAUCUGUUCACGUUCCCAUAAAGAAGGAACAUAUUUUUUCAAAUAUUUGCCGUUAAUGAAUCUCACGUGCUUGGUGCCGUCUAAAUCUUCCAAGUGGUACGUUCUAUUGGGCAACACACUGUUUAUUUUGUAUGGUCCUUCCCAAUUGGGCGACCACUUCCCAUAUUUUGGAUCUUUGCUAUCCAAAGGGAGUAUCGUCUUCCAAACUAGUUCACCCAAGCUGAACGACUUGGCUAUGACUUUUUUAUUAUAAAACUUAGCCAUUCUUUGCUUUUGAACUUGCAAUCUAUCUAAGACGUAUAACUUUAAUUCGUCUAAACUCAAUAAAUUUUGAACUAGUGAUUCGGCAUACUCAUCGUCAUUCAACUUAUGUUGCAAACACACUCUAAUAGAUUGCACGUUGAUUUCCAUAGGCAGAACGACCUCCUGUCCAUAAACAAUUUGGAAAGGAGUAACUUUGGUACCUGACCGAGGUGAUGUUCUAUAGGCCCAUAAGGCCUUGUUCAAACAUUCGUGCCAAUUUCUGGCGUUUUCAUCUAUCAUCUUUCUGAUGAUAUUUUUUAGAAUUUUAUUAGAAGAUUCCGCAUGCUCGUUGGAUUGAGCGUAGUAUGGUGUGGAGUUUACUAAUUUAACCCCAAAUUUCCUCAAAAAUUUGUUCACUUGAUCCCCAUUCAAAGAUGUUUCGUGAUCUACCAUUAAAGUUUGUGGAAUUCGAAACUUAUAAAUAAUGUGAUCACGAAUAAAUUCUAUAACAUUUUUCUGGGUGAUCUCUUUCAAAGGUACCGCCUCUACCCAUUUGGUGAAAUAGUCGGUUGCAACUAUAACAAAAGUAUGUUGCUUGGACGAUGGGGGGUAGAUCUUCCCUAUCAGAUCUAUCGCCCAACCUUUGAACAACCAAUGUUUAAUAAUAGGUGUCAUCUCUCGUGCUGGUGCCCUUUGUAUUGGACCAUGCUUUUGGCAUGCUAGACAACUCUUUGCAUACUGAACGCAUAGUUCUCCCAUCUUUGGCAAAAAAUAUCCACUCUUAAUAAUUAACCAUCUCAUCCUUUGGCCAGCUUGAUGAGCUCCACAUAUCCCUUCGUGCACUUCAGCCAUGAUCGUCUUGGCUUCUUGCAAACUUACACACUUUAGUAAUACACCAUCAGAGCGAUUCUUAAACAACUCUUAAUCUAUUAGUGUGUAAUUCAGCAAACAUAGCUUCAUUUUCCUACUAAUCCCUCCAUUAUGUUCUUUAAGGAACCCUUUAAUCUCUGUUCUCCAAUCCACUGCAUCUCCAUCUUGUAUACAGUGAAGUUCAAUUUUUCUCGCCCUUCUUUGAGUUACGGGCAAUAUGGUUCCAUACUCACAAGUAGACUUCCAAUUCAAGACCUUUGAGUACCCUGAGGCCAUUUGGGCUAACUCAUUUGCCACGUCGUUAUAUAUCCUAUUAACGCGUUGAAAUUCUACUUGAUCGAAUUCCUCUAAUAAUUUUUGGGCGAUCUCAUAUUGACUUAUAAUGGAAUCACUUUGGCAUUUAAAAUCACCGAUCAAUUGAUGUAUCACCAAUUGAGAAUCGCCCCUAACGAUCACAUUUCUUACUCCCAUAUCUAUCAUUAGUUCUAGGCCUACAAUUAAGACUUCAUAUUCGGCCUGAUUAUUGGUGCACAUUCUGUCUAAGGUGAAUGCAAACUUGUAGCAAAUCCCUAAANNNNNNNNNNNNNNNNNNNNNNNNNNNNNNNNNNNNNNNNNNNNNNNNNNNNNNNNNNNNNNNNNNNNNNNNNNNNNNNNNNNNNNNNNNNNNNNNNNNNNNNNNNNNNNNNNNNNNNNNNNNNNNNNNNNNNNNAUUACAUUCACAUUUCGUUAACCGUCUACUUAAGUAGUAAAUUGCCCUUUCUUCACCAAAUUGGUCUUCCUGUGCGACCAUUCCAGCUAUUGAUUCUUUUUCAGCCGAUACAUACACUUUCAUUGGCCGUCCUUGGAUUGGUGACACCAACACUGGUGGACUUGAUAGAUAUGUCUUCAGGCUUUCAAAAGCCUUUUGAUGUUCUUCUUUCCAGACGAAUUCGUCCUGAUUUUUCAACUUUGAUAGCUGCGAAAAGACUUUAGUUCGGCCUGCACAGUUAGAAAUAAAGCGUCUUAAAAAAUUUACUUGGCCUAGAAACCUUUGCAACUCCUUUUUGUUGCUAGGUGGUUUGGCUUCUAAGAUAGCCUUCGCUUUAUUUUUAUCAAGUUCAAUCCCUCUCUUGUGUACUAAGAAACCAAGAAAGUUCCCUGCAUUAACACCAAAUGCACACUUCAAGGGAUUCAACUUUAGCUUAUAUUGCCUCAUUCGUUCAAAUGAACAUCUUAACUGUUCGAAAUGGUCAUCUUCUUUAAUGGACUUGACUACUAUGUCGUCUACAUACACCUCAACAAACUUGCCUAUCAUAUCAUGAAAGAUUAAAUUCAUUGCCCUUUGAUAAGUUGCCCUUGCAUUUUUUAGGCCGAAAGGCAUAACCACCCAUUCAAAACAUCCUAGAGACCCAGGGCAUCUAAAGGCAGUUUUGUGUAUGUCUUCUUCAGCUAUAUAAAUUUGAUUGUAUCCUGAAUACCCAUCCAUGAAAGAAUACAUGACAUGUCUGGCAGUUGAAUCUACUAAAGAAUCCACCGUGGGCAUUGGAUACUCAUCUUUGGGUGUGGCUAUGUUUAAAUUCCUAAAGUCUAUACACACCCUUAGUUUACCAUUCUUUUUUAGUACUGGCACAAUAUUCGACAACCAUUCAACAUAUCUGAUUGUUCUUAUAAAAUCUACUUUCAAUAAUCGCUCUAUCUCUUUCUUAAUCUUAGGGAGUACAUUAGGAGCAAAACGCCUAGGAGGUUGCCUAUGAGGUUUAAAAUUAGGCUUAGUUGGUAACCUAUGUUCCACCAAGUCUCUAUCUAAACCAGGCAUUUGUUCAUAUUCCCAAGCAAAACAAUCUUUGUACUCUUUUAACAAAGCGAUUAAUUUGUUACUAACCUCUUGGUCGAGCAUCUGGCUGAUGAACAUUGGGUGAUCCUCUCCUUCAUCGCCAAUAUUUACUUUGAUCAGAGGGUCUUGUGCUUGAGCAUACCCAGGUUUGGCAAUCCACAUCACUUCGUUGUCCAGUUCUCUUGUAAGUACUUCUUCUUCCAAACAGUCUACCUUGUUGACUUCUUGGCCAAUGCUUUGCUCUAAAUCGAAUACUGCCAACUUGUCCUUCAACGCUUUUAGGGCAGUCUCUCCCUUCGCCUUGUCACUGCAUUCCUUACUGAAAGCCAUCAGUCUGGCUUUGAAGGCCUGAAUGUCGGCCAUUUGCUUUUGUAACUUAAAGUCCAUUCAAGACUCCUUAAUUAUUCUUUUGCCAAUUACUGGCUCUUCCAGGGCCACUAUAUUUGGCCUCAUCUGUUUGAACAUCUCAGUGAGUGCGUCCACUGAGAAUGGUUCUUCGCUUUACGCAACAACCUGAGUUUCUUCCCCGUCUUAUACUACUCUGACAGGUCCAUAGUUUUCUUCGUACAUGAACUUUUCCACCGAGUUUGCUUCUGCGACAAAGGGCCUAUGAUCGGCCUGUACCACCUCUGCUUCGCCUUUGUCAUUCCAAAAAAUCAGGCAUUGAGGGAGCGAUGAGGGUAUACAGCGACUUCCGUGUAUCCAAUCCCUUCCUAGGAGCACGUUGUAACUAGUAGGACCAUCUAUUACAAAGAAGACAGUGGUCCUAGUAGUCGUACCUAUAGUUAUGUCUAAAGGCAUAACUCCCUUAGCUGAAGUUGCUCCUCCAUUGAAGCUAGUGAGGAUGACUUCUGUAGGAAUCAUGUCACCCUCUGUCUUUGCGAACUUUCUCAUCAUCCUAGAUGGAAUGGUGUUUAUAGCUGCUCCAUUGUCGACAAGCACUUUUGCUACUGGGACGCCGUUAACUAGAGUUUUAACGUAUAAUGGCCUCAAGUGUUUAGUCAAUUUCAUGGCUGGCCGUUUAAAAAUAACCUUUUCGGCAGCCUCUAUUUCUAUCUUUUGCUUGUUUUCUGUCGAAUUAUCCCCCUGUGAUAAGUCGACGUGCAAUAUAUCACGCUGAUCCUCUGUCUCCUGAAUUUCCUUCUUACUUUUUUCUAAUGCUUCCUCAUCAGUUAUCUAACCUGUGGGAGGGGGCAUUAUUCUUGGAGGUGACCCAUACUUUUCAGAGCGAGGCACUCUCUUCUUCCUUUUGGGUGUCUCGUACAGUACGUAGAAAUCGAAAGGAUGCCCAGAUGGUUCCCCCAACAAGUCUACUUCGCGAACUCCCUCUUGAUGUAGUUGCUUAAAUAGAGUAUUGCGCGAUACUCCUCUCUUUUUCCUUUCUGCUUCUAGGUCGAUUUCUUCUUCAAUGUCUGUCAUCCCAUCGUCUUCCUCGUCGUUGUAGGCCUCCCUAGAAGUCUGGCCUUCUUCACAUACCAACACGCAAGCUUCUUCUUCAUUGUCUUCCCCCUCUUCUCCUUUUUCCUUAUUCUUGAAUUCAUUGGUCAGUAGGUAAUUAUUGGUCACUACAGGAGGCAACGUACCGAAUUGGAUAGCAAGGGUCUGAUCUGGAUCUUCUUCAUCCCUUCUGUCCCGCUCAAACUUUGAUCUCCCAGAAGAAGUUUCUGGCAGUUCCUUCAUUGAUUCAUCUGUACCAGUCUCUUCGUUAUUUUUGAGGACAUUUUGAUUGGCUACCUUGAGUAGUAUAGGCGCUUUAGGAUGUGGCAUUCCUUGUUGCUGCCUCAUCAUCCAUCCGUAGUUUCGUUGGAAAUGUCUUUGUUGGGUCCUAGUCAUCUCAUCGAAAGGUAUUGCCCUUCUUGCACUGUACUGGAAUGAAUGUCAUACAUUUGGCUGGCGAGGUUGCGGCCUAAAUGUUCUUCCAGUAUCUGCUGGUCUGAACUGCCUUUCAAAAGGCGGUCCCCUAUAGAAUGAUGUACCUCGCCCUCUACCAGGCUGAAUGUUUGGGAAGAAGGUAGGGCGAUGAGGAUGUUGCCAUGUCCCUGGUUUAUCCGUGUUUCCAUUCACAUCUCUUUUACACCUUGCACACAAGACGUCUUCGUCCUUUUUUUGUUCUUUUCCCUUGAUUCGUUCAAAGACGUUGGGAUGUGGUCUAGGAUCUUCUUCUCCGUCAUCUACGACCAAUUUGAAUUUUGGUAACUUGUUCUUGAAUCCAGAUGUUACCAUGUUUACUCCAAGUGGCUGUGGGAAAGGAUUCUCGUCCACUGCCAUCUUUUUCUUAAAAUCGAACGUAAUUCUUCCUGAUUCAAUGGCAUCCUGCAAUACAUGACGGAAAACCAAGCAAUUGUUAGUCAGAUGUGACCAUGCAUUAUGCCAUUUACAAUGUUUUUUACCCUUAAUUUGUUUAGGGUUUGGCAAUUUGUGCUUAUCGCUCAAUCUUAUCUGCUUAUCCCUAUAUAAUUUAUCGAAUAUAAGGUCAGCUUUGGUCACGUCGAACGAGAACGUUCUAGCCUUUAUAUUUCCAUCCUUUAUGGGCUCAUCUUUGCCCGAUGGUCUAGGCUUGGCCAUUAUGGGACAAGUAUAUGUAUCCCCUUUGACCAAUUCGGCCAAACACAUUUCGGCCUAAUCGUAUGACUCGUCGUCGAUGGUAUGAACGUCAAAAUUUGGGUCUUUGUAAUAAGUCCCUUUACUAGAAUUUUUCAUUUGUUCUUCCUCUCUUAUCAGUCGCUCAUACCUAAUCACAUUCACACUCACACUCAACUGGAAAAAGUCAGGGAAUUCCUUGUCCUGGAACUUCUUUUUUAAAUCAAAGCUCAAGCAGCCUUGAGCGAUCUUGACAAAUUCUUUUUCCGGCAGAGGUACAAAACACUUGCUUCUUGCUGUCCUGAACCUUUGGAGAAAACUUUCUGCCCAUUCAUUUGGCAUUUGACGUAAAUUCGUCAAAUCGGCCAAAGUAACUUCAGAUUCAGUUUUAUAAAACUGAGCGUGAAACAACUGUUCCAAUUGUUGCCAUGUUUGAACAGAGUUCGCUGGCAAGUUGAUGAACCAGGAGAAAGCUACUCCUGUUAGCGAACUAGGGAAAAGUCUCAUUUUAUGGUAAUCGGUUACAUCACCACUUUGCAAUGUGAAUCGCCCUAUGUGUUCUAGAGUAGACACCUCUCCUAAACCGGUAAACAGUGAGAAUUCUGGCACUUUGUAUCCUCUAGGCCAUGGAUAUGCUAGGUCUACCCAAUCAGGAUAUGGUUUUGUGUACGUCGGCCUAAUGACGGGACGCACCCCAAAAGCCAUCUGAUCUUGUACGAUUUCCAUAAUCUGGUUCCUCAACAUGACGUUGGGGUCAUAUGGAAUUCCUACAGGUUGGUUAACCGGUUGGUUUGCAUGAGGCCUGAUGUUUGGUCCUUGAUUGGCAACAAAAUUACCAUGAUUAGGGCCAUUACCAUUAGCCUGAACAUCUACCCCUUCGUUACCACGUGGAAUAUUCUGUCCAUUGUUUAGGACAUUAUCUCUCACGUUUGGAUUACCUCCCAGGUUAGGCAUACCACUACCAUUGCUUUGAUUUGACACUGUUGUACCUCCUUGGUUUGAAGUAGAUGGACCAGAAAGCGGUUCUACCCCUUGACUCGGAUUUAGGACCGAGGGAUUAUGUCCCACGAUCGUCCUAGUCUGAAAGUGAUUUGUAAGAGGUAUAGCUGGUUGACAUAUUUGGCCUACUAACUUAUUCAUCGUUUCGUUCAACGUCUUUAGUUGUUAGGCCAUGUUGUCAUAGUGUACAUUCCCAUUUUGUGUAAAUCUUUCCAUAUUAUGAAUACUUCGAAGAUUUACCUAUUCAACGACGUCUUGCGUGAGUUCUCCAAGUAAUGCACGCAUGGUUCGAGGACUCAACUCCGUCAUUGGUUCGUAAUGACUGUUACUGCUCUGAUUUUGUCCAUCUGUUCGUGGAGAGGCAUGCUGCUCCUUAUAUCGCUCGAUUACAGACUGGAUUCCUUCCUGACUUGCUGCUUCCUUAUCAGAUCUCUGAGGCAUAUUGUUUCCCCUUUUGUACUUUCAAUGCCUUACACCACUGUCCCAGUGGGCGUGCCAAAUUGUUUCGCGCGGGUUAAUCGCUAACAAUUAAAAGGGAUCAGACGAUUAUGUAAGGGACAAACCUCUUAAGACAAAGUCCCAAAAAGGGGUGUUCUUUUAUUGACGAUGACUUUACAAUUGGAAAUGAAAAACAACGUGCCUCCAAGGGGCGCAAGCACACGAGUUACUGAAAGAAAAGUGUUUAAAUCUAAAAACUAAGGAAAUGGAAAUUACAUAUUCUCUAUUCGAGAGUUUUGGAUUCGGUCCUUUGCUUCUACGUCCUUUCUCCCUUUUAUACUUCAUAGGCGAUCUCUUUGUGAUCAACUACUUUGAAAACUGCUUGAUCGUCCUAUAACUACCCACUUUCUUCGUAAUGGCCACCUUGUCAUGAAAACUGUUUUUUAACUGCUGCCAUUACCCUUCAUCGUUCAAUCGUUUUCGAUUGAAUCCUUGAAUCGUGGAAUGUGAUAGGGCUGCUUUAAUAACUGCUUUGAUAACUACACUUCUUGAUAACCACGACGCAUUAUGUUUGUUAAUACCUUGGGCGACUUGAAGGUUUGGGCGAGAAUAGGGUAACAGCUCUGGGCGACUGUAUGACACUCCAUUCGCUCAGAUUCUAGGCGACUUGCAAACUUGGGCGAUGGCGUUACCGCGUUCUUGGACCUCCUUAUUUGGGCCUUCAUCUUGAUUUGUUCGAUUGGGCUUCGUUCUUUGGGUUAUCUGAUUUGGGGAUUCUCCAAUUCGGCUUCACUCCUUAAACUGUUCGAUUUGGGCUGAAUUUUUAUGUGUCAACAGAAGUCAAUAGAGAAUGGUAAGUAUCAAAGAAAACUCAGAAUGCCAAAUCAAAUAUAUUCAAUUUAUUCGUCGAAGAUAAGACAAACGAAUAUAUAUGAUUUUUCUCUAGAUUAGAUAAUAAUGUACAUUAACCCAAGAUUUCGAGUCAUCACUGAAUAUAUACUAAAAUCUGCAUUUGAUUUAAGCAAAGCUAUCUGAGGAACCUUCAUUCCUUGUGCUCUUCCAUAAGCAUUGUUGCACGCAAUUGAAGCCUUUUUUUUCCCCCGUUCUGUCAAAGAAAAUGCUGUGAAAAACUAUACCGUACAUGGAACGGACGCGCUGCAUGCUAAGUUCACUGCAGGAUGCUUUGAUGAGGUUCCAAGAAUUUGUCUAAAUGUGAUGUUGCUAACUUUUAGUGCUGAUUCCUGUAAGAAAAAUAUCGACACUAAAUUAGCAUUGUGAAGACUCGACUACCUAGGGAAGAUCAAUGUUCUACAAAUAGAAUCACCAUGUGCUACACAAUCGAUGUGAUCACAGUAGAAUUGGUCGAUAUUAUUGAUUAUGCUCAAUUCUUGACUCAAGAUUCUCUCGAAGAUCGUGUUUCUAGCAUAACCACUGCCUUCCUGAAUUACAAAUGGCGAAAACGAACAUUUAGGAAAAGUUUAGCCAGUGUUGAACGAUAUUAGACAUUACAGAAAGAGCACUUUGUGUGACAUGGCACACUUUUUGCCAUUGAUUUUAAUGGCACUUAAAAUAAUCAAUGAUCUCGAUUUUGACACCUCACACAAUGUCAAGGAAGAUGUCCAUUUUUAAUUGUUGUAUUCAUCGGAACCAUGAAUGGUGCUUGAAUAAAGACAUGGUAGGUAUUUAGAUCAUACUCAACAGUUUCUAUGUAAUAUUAGACCAUACUCAACAGUUUAAUUGACGUUCGAGCAUAAUUUAAUACAUUUUACAAACCAUGCCAAAAAGGCUUUAAGAUUAUGGGAAGAUUCUUAAAUGUGUGACUAAUUCGGUGACCUUAGACGAAUCAAAGCAUUCGAGUUUCAAAGUCGUCAAGAAAUCAACACUGCCUUGCAAUGAAAAAGGUUGGUAUUGGGAUCGACACUAAAUCUCAAGACCAUGUAUCUAAGAUAUUAGAAUAUUAGAGAGGGGACAAUUUAUCUUUGCAGUAUGCCAACAUUUAUUUCCACGACCAUUUAUUACACCAUGUCCAAGGAUCGACCACUUAUCGAUGUAUUUAAAUUCUAUCCAAUUAUUGCAAUCAUUAUUUUUGCAUCUCCAAUUCGAUGGUUCAAUUGGUCCAAUUAUAUUUCCAUUUAUCUGCAGAAUUAGUUCAGAAUAAUAAUAAUAAUAAUAAUAAUAAUAAUAAUAAUAUGAAACUGUAAUUACUAAUAGAGCAGCCGAUUCGAACCGCCCCAGCCUGAACCAGCACAUGGACCGGAGGAACGUUUGGAUCGGUCCAUAAUAUUUUCUAAGGCCCGAACCGGCUCAUUGGCUUGUUCGACAGUUUAUUUCAUUUUUAAACCUUUUUUUACAACCAAAAUUUUUUCUAGAAAAAAAAUUAAUAAUCAAUACCUCAAGAUUAAUUGUUUUAUUAUUGCAAGGGCCAUCAAAUUUUGAAGAAUUUAUCAAAAAUGUCUUCCAUUGUUGAAGAAGUUGACAAAGAGUUGCACGUUGCUGCUCAUGCCCAUACAAAAAAACAAGUCCGUUCAGGUCCUCUUCUAUAUCAAAACUUUAGAAUCGAACAUAAUAACACAAUUUCUUACAUUGGUAUCAUCUGUUCCAAGGGUGGAUCAAGGAAAAAUUUUAGGACAGGUUAAUAUGCAAAUAAUAAUAAUAAUAAUAAUAAUAAUGAUAAUAAUAAUAAUAAUAAUAAUAAAUAAAUAAAUAAAUAAAUAAAUAAUAAAAAGUCACUCAAAAAAUUCGGCUGGGGGAACGGGCCGUAGCACUACUCAGUCCCCAGAUCGUUACCAUUUGCUCCAUAAUGAAGCACAUUAGUCAUUUCAUAAUGUGUUACCACGAACAUUUAAAAAAAAUAAAAAUAAAGAGUUGAACCCCAAACUUGAGGACCCUCACCGUCCCGUCUCCAGAGCUUUGUGAGGGGGUAAAUCGCAGGAUGUGCCCCAACAGGUCAGGAAACAAGAGCUGCAUGUACACUGCGCUUACAAAGAGUCCAAUUUCAUGUCUCAGGAAUCAAACAUUGGGUACUGCGGAUGUUAGCAAGGUGUGAAAUAACUUCACUCAUAUCCUUUAUACCACAAACAUUGAAAGACUAAGAGUCCGUUUGGUGCACAUUUUUUAGAUGAAAAUGCAUUUUAAACAUCAAAUCGCGGGUCCCCCAUUAGAGUGUAGAAGUCAAAAAUUGUGUGCUGAUGUGACGAAAAAAAUGUAUUUUUGGCUCCAAAAAUGAGUACCAAACAGGGGCUAAAUGCAAUAACCAACAUAAGUAUUUUCUCCAUUGUAAUCUAGCUGAAAUUUCAACUGACCAUGAAUAAUAAUUAUUACAAUAAGGAAAAGGAAAUCUGGUGGGUGAAAAAUUCAAGAAGAGAGACUUGUAUAGAAAGUUAGAUUAAAAUAAGUAAUUAUUUUUAAUUAAGGCGAAAAGAGCCCUGGUUCCAAUUAUUUUCUUGUUUCUUCUAAACUGAUUAUCAAGUUUGAUUUUUCAAAUUGUAGUAUUUGGCUAUGGAAUUUGCAUCAGACUAAGGCUCGACAAAACUGGAACGUGCUCUAAAGAAGCUCUUGUUCACACAAGAACCUCCAUAAGUACAGAUUUCGUACAGAAAAACAAAUGUCUUCUUGUAAUUGGCUAUUGCGAAAGACAACUGACUUCCUGUACCAGUUCUGUUAAAAAAUUAUGUACUUACGGAGUUUACCUAAUGUAUUAGAGAAGGACGACAGAGAUCGAAAUUAACAUUGUAUGUUGUAUUGUGACGAUUAUUUCCAUUGAAUUCAAUACGGGUAAAAAAAAAACCGUGUAAAUAAAAAGAACAAAUUUAUAGAGAAAGCUUGAAUUAUUAUUUUUAUCAUUGAACUUGGAAGUCAACAAUUAGUUUUUUAACAACGUAGUACAUGUUAGAAGGGGGAAUAGAAUUUUUUUUUUAAAUAAAUAAAUAAAAAUAUUGAGCAAUCUAGAUGUUUACAAUUUACAUAUAUGUCCAGAAUAAAGGAUUAGAAUUUUACCUAAAUUUGGCGAUCAAUUCUUGACUAGAUCGCAACUUUCAAUUUUUAAUUUCAAAAAUUUAAUGUUCUAAACCUUCAAAUCUUCUAUGAUAAAAUCAAGACUAUAUUGACAGAUGAACACCUUCUUUUAACUAAAUUAAUAAACUAAUUCCGGCCAAUGAAGAAAAGAAAAAAGAAAAAAAAAUAUUAUCCCUCCCCCUCUCUCUCUCUCAAUUCGGACACUGAAGAAUAAUUGUUGCAUUUUAUUUUAUUUUAUUUUUUGUUCUAUUUAAUCUUUGUUUAUAAAGAAUAAAUAUAUCCAAUUCAUGUACAAUAAGAAUUCCAAAUAGAAGCCUCAAUUAAAGUCCAAAUCCAAUUAGUUCAUUAAUUAAUUAACAUGUAUUCUUAAAAUUCAAUUACAAACACAAUUAGGUUUACAACUUUUAUAAUAAUUACGAUUAAAUCAUAUAUAUUACUGAAAUUGCAUAUUUUUCGCAAUUUGCUCUGGCCAAAUCGCUUGUCGAUUUGACUCGUUCCACUUAACACUCCUACCUCAAAUGCAUAUUAUUAAGUGGUCUACCUAACUGUAAAAACAUGCGAACUCCGAGUUUGAAAAUAUCUCAAGUUCAAUAAUGAUCUUUUCAAAUUUAUAUGCUCGACAGAACUUUGGGAGAAAAUUUUCAAACCUUACUAAUUACUUUUUACUUGUUAAUGAUUCACAUUCACUGAUGUGUGAAUUUCAAUUUUCUCAAGCUCACUAUAGAAAAAGUAAUUUUAUAAAAGUUGAACAAUUUUGUCCCUUCUCCAGUAUCGACAUUUGAUGCUGAUUUUUGUAUUGAAUAAAGUCAAUCAGACAACCUAAAAAACAAGGAGUCAGCAAACAGACUGAUUUGACAAAAAUUGGUUGGCUAAUUUUUUUAAAAUUUUCAAAGUAUCCAAUCAUAUUUCGACAUAUAUCCACCCUAUUAUUUUGUUCUGUUUUUGAGCUUGUCUAUGUAGCAUUAUUGUUUUGUAUUAAUGCUUGAAAAAAAAAAGAAAAAAGAAGAAGAAUGAAUUUGGACGCAAAAACGCAUUUUGCUGACCUUUCCUAUUAAAGUCGCAUUACUCGGCCCCACAUUGAUAUAGCCUGUAAAAAGUAAAAACAGAGACUUCCGACCAUCACACCAAAAAGUCGCAUAUUCUGUCGUCAACAACUAAACGUAUGUCCCAUUCAUUGCUAAGAUAAAUGCCCUCACCCACUCAUCAAAAAAAUAUUAUAAAAACGUGUCACGUCAUAUUUUGAAUAAUUGAAAAGCAAAAUCUAACUCCAUAUAUUUAAAUGGGUUAAUUUCACAAACACUCACUGAACUAUAGAGAAAAAUACAAAACAGUCACUGAAGUUUAAAACUUUCAGUAACGGUCACUUAAGUUUUGAAUCUGUUGACACAUAAAAAUUCAGCCCAAAUCGAACAGCCCAAGGAGUAAAGCCCAAUUGGAGGAUCCCCAAAUCAGAUAGCCCAAAGAACGAAGUCCAAUCGAACGAAUCAAGGUGAAGGCCCAAAUAAGGGGCCCAAGGGUGCGGUAACGCUAUCGCCCAAGUUUGCAAGUCGCCCAGAAUCUGAACGAAUGGAGUGUCAUACGGUCGCCCAGAGCUGUUAUUCUAUUCUCGCCCAAACCUUCAAGUCGCCCAAGGUAUCAACAAACAUAACGCAUUGUGGUUAUCAAGAAAUGCAGUUAUCAAGGCAGUUGUUAAAGUAGCCCUAUCACGUUCCACAACUCAAGGAAUUCAAUCGAAGGCGGUUGAACGAUGAAAGAUAAUGGCAGCUGUUAAAAGGCAGUUUCAUGACAAAAUGGCCACUACAAAGAAAGUGGGUAGUUAUAGGACGAUCAAGCAGUUUUUAGAGCAGUUAAUCACAAAGAGAUCGUCUAUGAGGUAUAAAAGGGAGAAAGGACGUAGAAGCAAGGGACCGAAUCCAAAACUCUCGAGCAGAGAAUAUGUAACUUUCAUUUCCUUAGCUUUUAGACUUAAACACUUUUCUUUCUGUAACUCGUGUGCUUGCGCCCCUUGGAGGCACGUUGUUUUUCGUUUCCAAUUGUAAAGUUCAUCGCCAAUAAAAGAACACCCCUUUUUGGGACUUUGUCUCAAGAGGUUUCGUCCCUUACACAAUCGUCUGAUCCCUUUUAAUUGUUAGCGAAUUAACCCGCGCGAAACAGAAUCGCUUUCAAAAAUGGUCACUGAAAUUUAAAAACUGGCAAAAACGGUCACUGAAUUUUAAAAAUUUUCAGAAACACUCACUGAAGUUUUUUUUUUCAGUUUUUUGGUCUACUUUUGCGACAACUUUUCUAUCAUUUUUGACCAUCGAUACAACUAAAUUUUGAUACCGUUGAAAAGUCCACAAUGUCCUCUUCCAUUACUACCCAAAAUCUCCCUGUAACUCUAAGGAAUUUGACCUGAAAAUUGCCAAAAAAAUCUGAAAAUCUGCCAAAAUCUUUAGAUUUUUGAGCAAUUUUUGCGGCUAUUUUCCUGUGAAUUCCGACCACCAAAUCGGCUACUUUUGGGUGGUAAUUGAAGAUGAGAUUGUAGGCUUUCCAACGGUAUCAAAAUUCGGCAAAAUUGAUGGUCGAAAGUUGCCGAAAAGUUGGCACAAAAGUCGCCCAAAAAACUGAAAAAUUUACCCAGAUUUUCGCAUUUCCUGGUAGCCAACUUCGUGGAUUUAUUCCGACCGAAUCUUUUGGAGUUUGGGGGAUAUUUUUCAUGGUAAUUGAAGAGGACAUUGUGGGCUUUCCAACGGUAUCAAAAUCCGAUGGUAUUGGUGUCCGGAAGUUACCUCAAAGUAGCCCAUAAAAUCUGAAAAAUCUGCCCAGAUUUUCGCCUUUUCGGGUAGCCAACUUUGUGGGUUUAUUCCGGCCGAAUCCUUUGGAGUUUGAGGGAGAUUUUUGAUGAUAAUUGAAGAGAAUAUUGUAAGCUUUCCAACGGUAUCAAAAUCCAUUGGUGGUUGGAAGUUGUCGGAAAAUUACCUCAAAAGUAGCCUAAAAAAUCAACCCACAGUUUCGCCUAUUUGGGUAGCCAACUUUGUGGGUUUAUUCUGGCCAAAUCCUUUGGAGUUUGAAGGAUAUUUUGGAUAGUAAUUUAAUAGGACACUGUGGACUUCCCAACGGUAUCAAAAUUCGACAAUUUUGGUGGUCGGAAGUCAUCGAAAAAUCGCCGCAAAAUUGGCCCAAAAAAUCUGAAAAUCUGAACAGAUUUUUCGAUUUUUUGGGCGAAAUUUGUAACGAUUUUCUAGUCGAAUCCCUUGGAAUUAUGGGGAGAUUUUGGGUGGUAAUUGAAGAGGACAUUGUGGUCUUUCCAACGGUAUCAAAAUUUGACGGUAUCGGUGAUCGGAAGUGGUCGAAAAAUUACCACGCCCAAAAACUGAAAUUUCAGUUACCAUUUCUGAAAGUUUUUAAACUUUAGUGACCAUAUUUGAAAGCGUCUAGAAACUUAAGUGACCGUUAUUGAAAAUUUUAAACUUCAGUGACCGUUUUGUAAUUUUUGUCUAAGUUCAGUGACCAUUUGUGAAAUUAACCCAUAUUUAAAUAUAUAAAAAUAAUAACUCUACAAAAUUUCGAAAGAUUAUCGUUAUUAGAUAUUUAUCUUGCAAAAGCAAAUAACUUUAUAAACUUAAAUGUAUAAAAAUAACUACUUAAAAUUUUUGAAAGAUUCUCGUUAUUAGAUAUUUAACUUGCAACUAUAAUAAACAUUUUUUUUUAAAAUAAAAGCUCAUAGAUUAAAUCAACUCGCCACUAAUCACUAAUGAAAGGAAGCGCGAAACAUAAUCAAUCCACCUCUUUUUAUCACUAACGACCGAAAGUAGAAUAAAAUUUAAAGAUUAACUUACUUGCAUUUAAGGGUUAAAAGAACAAUUUGCUACUUUGACGAUGAAUAAAGAAUAUUGUUAUUUAACACAAAUGAUACCAACUUUAUUAAACAUCAAUAGUACUAACGGUGGACAUAACGGAUAAAAUAUACCUACCCACUUCCACCUACUUUAAAAAAGCGUCUAUAUUUUCCAACACAAGAAAAGAAUUAUACACUCUCUCUCCAUCCAUCGCCAUCACCAUAUGGUCCCUCUUCGAUGAGGAUUAAAAUCAAUUUUUUAGUAAAUUUUGAUAAAAUUUGAUAAAGCGUGAAGUUGAAAAAUUAUGAAACUUGUGUUUAAAAUUAAUUAUUAAACUUUACUUAAAUUAAAUUCAAGUUUAAUCCCAGCCAAAGAAAGACAUAAUAAUGAAUUCCAAUAAUCAAUGUAGCCCCUUUUUUAUUCAGACUCUCUAAAAUUCCUUCUUUUUUUUUUCCAAUUUUAAACUCAGAGUAAAAUAAUUUACACAUAAACUUAUAACCUUUGCCUACUUUUUAACCACACAUUUUUUAAAAUAUGACUUCUCAAAAAACCUAUUUCAAAAAAUCUACAUUGAACAUGCUUUCGCAAUGAACUUCUCAGAAAAGAGAGAGAUGUAAUUACAGAAUAGAAUACAUGAAAUAUGUUUCUUGAAUACAGCCCAGAUUAUAAUUGAAAAUUUCUGCUGCAAUAAUCAAUAAAUAACUAAAAUUGAUUACACUUUUUGGCAAAAAAAGAAAAGGAAAAAUACAAACUGUAAUCAAUUUUGCCUCCAUUGUAACCUUGAUAGUCUUUGAAACUGCAUUGUUGCUAUUCCUUUCUCCAUUUCACCUUCCCAACCAGCAAAAAAACAAAAAUGCCAAAAAAAAUAUAUUUCCUAAAAGCCUUGAUUGUCUGUGUGAAAAAGAAACAAAGUUAAGUUUACUAGGCAACGAACUGAUCAAGUUGCAUCUGCUCGAGCCAAGCUCCUAAAACUGAAUGAUCAACAGAAUCAUUUCGAGAGUUGGAUUUCAGACCCUCGCCGGAUGGUGCAGCACGUUUUUCCAUCAUCUCAGGAGGUGAUNNNNN
rnacentral:lncRNA from 1 species